rnacentral:rRNA from 1 species
GACGGACGCUGGCGGCGUGCCUAAUACAUGCAAGUAGAACGCUGAAGGAGGAGCUUGCUUCUCUGGAUGAGUUGCGAACGGGUGAGUAACGCGUAGGUAACCUGCCUGGUAGCGGGGGAUAACUAUUGGAAACGAUAGCUAAUACCGCAUAAGAGUAGAUGUUGCAUGACAUUUGCUUAAAAGGUGCAAUUGCAUCACUACCAGAUGGACCUGCGUUGUAUUAGCUAGUUGGUGGGGUAACGGCUUACCAAGGCGACGAUACAUAGCCGACCUGAGAGGGGGAUGGGCCACUCUGGGACUGAGACACGGCCCAGGCUCCUACGGGAGGCAGCAAUAGGUAAUCUUCGGCAAUGGACGGAAGUCUGACCGAGCAACGGCGCGUGAGUGAAGAAGGUUUGCGGGUCGGAAAGCUCUGUUGUAGGAGAAGAACGAGUGUGAGAGUGGAAAGUUCACACUGUGACGGUAUCGUACCAGAAAGGGACGGCUAACUACG